UUCCGGUUGAUCCUGCCGGCGGUCACUGCUAUCGAGUUCCGACUAAGCCAUGCGAGUCACAGGCCGUAAGGUACUGGCAGACGGCUCAGUAACACGCGGAUAAUCCACCCUUAGGUGGGGCAUAUCCUUGGGAAACUGAGGUUAAUUCCCCAUAGAUCCCGAAAACUGGAAUGUUACGGGUUCUGAAAGUUACGACGCCUAAGGACGAGUCUGCGGCCUAUCAGGUUGUAGGUGGGGUAAAGGCCCACAUAGCCUAUGACGGGUACGGGCCCUGAGAGGGGUAGCCCGGAGAUGGGUUCUGAGACACGAACCCAGGCCCUACGGGGCGCAGCAGGCGCGAAACCUUCGCAAUGCGCGCAAGCGCGACGAGGGGAACUCGAGUGCCAUUGUCAUUUUUGAUGAUGGCUUUUCUUGAUCCUAAAAAGAUCAGGGAAUAAAAGCUGGGUAAGACGGGUGCCAGCCGCCGCGGUAAUACCCGCAGCUCAAGUGGUGGCCACUAUUAUUGAGCCUAAAGCGUCCGUAGCCGGUCUUGUAAAUCUCUGGGUAAAUCCUGCCGCUUAACGGUGGGAAUGCUGGAGAGACUGCAAGACUGGGGAUCGGGUGAAGCGAGAGGUACUCCUGGGGUAGGGGUAAAAUCCUGUAAUCCUGGGGGGACGACCGGUGGCGAAAGCGUCUCGCUAGAACGACUCCGACGGUGAGGGACGAAGGCUAGGGGAGCAAACCGGAUUAGAUACCCGGGUAGUCCUAGCUGUAAACGCUGCACACUUGGUGUUGCCCCUUCUUCGGGAAAGGGCAGUGCCGGAGCGAAGGUGUUAAGUGUGCCGCUUGGGGAGUAUGGUCGCAAGGCUGAAACUUAAAGGAAUUGGCGGGAGAGCACCGCAACGGGAGGAGCGUGCGGUUUAAUUGGAUUCAACGCCGGG
rnacentral:rRNA from 1 species